GUCAAAAAGGAAGAACAGGAUACAGCCUGUUGAUGAUGAAACAUCAUAUAUUCUGUCUUCGAGGGACAAGCCGGGAUUUAUAGAAAGAUUUAUUAAUAGUAACAAAGGAAGAGGAGUGUUUGUGACCCAGCCCAUUGAACCAGGAGCUUUCCUCUUGGAAUACAGAGGUGAACUCAUGUCAGUUGAAGAAUGCCGGUCCAGACACUACUCGGAGAAACGAACAAACAAGCAGACUUCUCCUGUGGCAGCAGAGAUCGAGAUGUCCCCCAUAGAUGGUGCUUUACAUGAGAAUUCAAACAGGAUGAUGCUUGUGCACAGGUAACAAACAAGAUGGCUUCUGCUGUGGCAGUAGAGACUGAGAUGUCCCCCAUACAUGGUGCUUCACAUGAGGAUUCAGAUCAAGAUGAUGCUCAUGCACAGGUAACAAACAAGAUGGCUUCUGCUGUGGCAGUAGAGACAGAGAUGUCCCCCAUACAUGGUGCUUCACAUGAGGAUUCAGAUCAAGAUGAUGCUCAUGCACAGGUAACAAACAAGAUGGCUUCUGCUGUGGCAGUAGAGACUGAGAUGUCCCCCAUACAUGGUGCUUCACAUGAGGAUUCAGACCAAGAUGAUGCUCAUGCACAGGUAAUGUAGAUACUGUUGGUCUGCACACUAUGUAGUUCCA
ensembl:lncRNA